rnacentral:lncRNA from 1 species
UGUAAAUGCCCUUCAAGGGUUUCUAGGUCAUGCAUUCUAGUAGCGACAUCACCAGGUAUGAGAUUUGCUGUAUUUAAUUGAGGUUCUUUGAGCCUGCAGCACACACCAACCAUACUUCUAAUGGGAGUUGCAAUCCGUGAAAAGAGAAUCCUCCCAGCAGACGCCAUCCUCUUUACAGAGUGCUCAGCGCGGGUUCCUGCAGAGCUCCACUGGUGGCCACACCCGACAGGGCCUUCCACUGGCAUUUUAGACACGACGUUGCUUUUAUCAAUGAGCUCUGAAAGAAAAGAAAUGAUUGGAACUUCAAAUCCACUUGGAAUUGGCAAGCCUCAGCGUUCAGAAGAGAUACAUAGAGAACAGAAAAGACCGUCGUUCUCAGGAGCAGGUCCGCAGCACUGCUCCGAGACACCAGCAGCUAUCAGAACCCUGGUUUUUGGAUGGGAAUUGAAGAGCAGAGGGAGGAAGGGAAGUCUUUCAAGAAGGAAAGGAUUUCCAUUGUUUCCAGGAAACUGCUAAAAUAUGUGCAUGCUGUUCAUUGCUAAAGUCAACAGAUGGGAUCCCCAAAUGUGAGAGAACAUGAUUCAACAGUGACUCCACAGGAAAAAUGGAUGGCUUACUGCAGAUGGGAAGGAAAAGUAUUGCUGUACCCAGUAGAAGGAGUGAAGGCAGAGAUUUUUGCUAUUUUUAUUUAUUUUAUUUUAUUUUUGGCAAAUUAUGGGAACUGAUUCACAUGUACAAUUUGGCAAUGUUUUGUUCUUAACAUCAAAUAGAA